rnacentral:tRNA from 1 species
AGCCCCGGGGUGUAAUCACGUUAGAUUGCAAAUCUAAAGAGGCAGGCUAACACCUGCCGGGGCUU